GCAAAAUUGGGGUUAUUAUGAUCAGGCUGGAUAAGUGAUGGAGUCAAAAAUUUGCUGCAUUAGUCACCAAAAUGUGUUCCCUCCAACGAGUUCUCUGGAUCUAAGGAUAAAUUUUACUAUCGGUGAAGAUUAAAAACAAAUGAGGAGGACUGGACAGGAGCAAGUUUCUUUGCCUGACUCACUUUCCUUCUCGUCCAAAUACUAGUAAGCAAGCAUCACCACCAGACAAGACCAGCGAGCGAGUAGUAAAUGACCCCACCCCGGUUCAGUAUUCGCUCCCGAUGAAGAAGAAACCAUCCGCUACCCGCUUUUUCAUGUUCGAUGCCUACCCGACUUUCACCAGACUUUCACCCGCAAGGAAGUAAUUCGGUGGUGGUGGUCAUGUCAUCCUAGAACCAGCAUGUGUAGUAAAAGUAUGCGUGUGCAAGUAGACGGCCUUGUUUAUAUCUAUGAAAAUGUUGUAUUAAACGUCAAUCAAUGACAACCAUUCAAUGUA